UGAAAAACAUAAUAUUUUAAUGAAUCAAAUCUUUUGAUUCAUUAAACAACAAACUGCCUUUCCAAGACAUAGCAAAACAGAUUGAGCUUGAUUAUGAAACAAAAAUAAAGACCAUAGCUAUCAUGGUGGAGAUGAUGACUAACAGCAAAAUCAACAGAUUACUUAAUGGAAAAUCAACUGUUUUCAGAAUUUACUUCACCACUAUUACAUUUCUCCAGUGAGCCACUAUCCGGUACAGGGGGCUAAAAUUUUCUUGCAGAAAAUUUCCAUGCAUUUAGCAUUCACAUCAUAAAGUGCAAUCAAUCCCUCAUAAGAUAUUCCAACUACAGUGUAUGCUUUCACAGAAUCACAGAAUUGUAGAGGCUGGAAGGAACUUCUAGAAAUCAUCGAGUCCAACCCCCUGCCAAAACAGGCUCCCUAGACUGAGUUGCACAGGUAGGAGUCCAGGCGGGUCUUGAACAUCUCCAGAGAAGGAGACUCCACGGCCCCCCUGGGCAGCCUGUUCCAGUGCUCUGUCACCCUCACUGCGAAGAAGUUCAUAUGCAUAUUUGUGUGGAACUUCCCAUGCUUCAGUUUGUGGCCAUUUCCCCUUGUCCUAUCACCACGCACCACUGAAAAGAGUCUGGCCAUGUCCCUUUGCCUCCCACACCUUAGAUAUUUAUAGAUUUUGACCAGAUCCCCUGUGAGUCUCGCUCAAGGCUGAACAUAUCCAGGUCGCUCACCCUUUCCCAGCAUGGUACCUCUAACUGCCCAGUGAACUCAAAUACUUAAUGUUAUCUCCAUUACUGACUGCUGAAGGCCUCAUUGGGUCAACUUGUCUUACUUGAUACUUCAUAUUUAGAUUUCUUUUUCUUUCCUAGUUUGUCUUCCUAGAGACAAUAGAAUAAGAUAAUAGAAUAAGAUAUAAACAGAUGUACAUAAACAGUAUAAUCUUAAUAUUUAGAGAACUCUAGGUCACAUGAAGUGUUGAACUAGUAGUGAAGUGUAUUUGUUAUUUCUUUCUUUUUUAAGCAAACCUUGGAUUUUUGUUCCUGUCCAGACAAUGAAAAAACAUUUUGAAAGAACUAUAUCACAAUAAAUUAGCCUGUGGAGACUUAGCUUACCAGCUUCUACAGGGCAGUUUCUAGUUAAUCUGAUAAUGCUAUGGAACCUCAUAAAUACUUUCAGUACUUUAGACUAUUAGGAUCUUACCAAAACAAAAGAUCUGGAGUUUCGUCUACUUUUCUGACACACAACUACCGCCACUUUUUAAAGAGUUUAGAACUCUUCUCUGACUUCUCUCUGCCUCUGGCAAGGACUAUACUGUUUGGGUUUACAGACUACAACAUAUGAAGAGAUUAUUAUGUCAAGUUGCACAAAAUAUGAUUAGAUUGGUUUGAACAGAUAAGGUGUGAGCAUCUUCACUAAAUGGCACAAGGAAGAAAGUAGAGUAGGAUGCUACAGUUUCAGAUAUAGCUAUUAACUUUCCUACUCGAGUUCUAUACAACUGCAUUAAUGUCUUCAGAAUAUUCUACUUACAGGUUGGUAAAAUUUUCAUGAGUUCACAAUAAUUAAAACAGAACACAGUGCUGGAAAAACUGGGACAAUGCUAAUGACUGACACUCCCGAAUCAGCCUUGAAAACAAAAAUAUUCUUCUGUUUUAGGGAAAAAGAAGUCAAAAAAAAAAAAAAAAAGCUGGUGGGGAGUGGGGGAGAGAUCUGUAUGUGUAAAAAAAUUAAAAUCAGAAAGGAAUUUUUUCCAUUUAAGCACAGCCAUUUUAAACAAAAAUGUUUACAGUAACUUUUUACAACAUUAAAAAGUCCUAAAGAGUAAAUUCCCAACAUCUUCCACACGUCUUACAUUGACCUCCACUUGGUUGGAUUGUAAUUACCUAUCUGUAAUAAUUCAAAACGUAUCCAAAAUUAGGCAACUUUUCAAAAUCAUCACAACUUAUGUAAUUCAAAGAAAACUAUAGCAGUUCUAGAAAGACAAACAUCUCUGUAAAUGAAGAGACAGGAACAUAUCAUCUCAGGAAAGAGCUUGCUAUUUAGGAGCAAGUAAUUGAUAAAUCUUGUAUUAUAUGUGGUUGGCUAGCUGUUGCUAAUUUAUAUUCCCAGAAAAGUCCUUAGGUAUUUUUCUUCAACAACUAUGAAACAUAACACAUAAUAAAGACUCUCUCCUGAUAGUGCUUUACUUCUUACUUCUCUAUUGAUAGACUUUCUCCCUUAAUCCUGCUUGUGAAUCAACACAGGUUCUUGACAUUUAAAUCCUAAUUAUCAGCACUAAAGAAAUUUCACACAGAUCAACAAAAAAUUUUGAUUCCCAAGGAAUUCUGACCAAAAUUAAAAGGAACAUAUGCUAAAAUCCACAAGAUAAAGAAAAGCAAACUGUAAUCUAUGCAAAAAUUUGAAAAUCUGCUUGUAAUCUUUACUUCUGGAAUCCCCUCCCUAGUAAUCUUAUGUACAUCAAUAUUUUUUUUACUCAUCAUCCUCAUGAGUUUUUUGGUUUGCAGGUUUUUAAAAGAAUUUUUGCCUCAGAGAACUGCUAGUAAUGAUGUAAAGACUAAUAAACUUCACAAGUUUUUUCUUGAAUUUCAUUAUGUCCAAGGUAAACUUCAGUAUAUAUACCCUUCAUUGUACUGUUUCACAUUCUAUUGUUUCACUUCAUUCUUCUUUCAUUUGCAUAUUUUCAAAUAUAAUCCAUAUUUUUAUUUAUUUUUGAAUGAACACUAAAUUGUAAUCCAAUCUAAUCAAACUCAGAGAAACUUCAAUAAAACUGACAGGUACAUUAAUUUUUAACCUAACAUAGCUGAUUUCAUUAAAUGAACACAUACACUGUAUCUGGGUGCAAAAAGAACACAAACUUCACCCUUUUUUUUUUCUUCUCUCUCUCAAGAAGUUGUAGUCACUAAGACCCACCACAGUGUCACUCUACAUCCUCACCCAAAAGAUGGAAACAGCAUUGACACUAAUGUAUUUACAUACAUGCCCUUGUAAAUGCUUGAAAGUAUUUGAUGAGAAGAGCAAACUGUAACCAAAUAAAAUUGAAGCAUUAAAUUCAAUCUAGCAAAAUUACAUACAAUGCCAGCAAUGUGCCCUCACAGCUCAGAAAGCCAACCAUAUCCUGGGCUGCAUCAAAAGAACCACAGCUAUAAGAAAGAAGGGAACAGACUCUUCAGCACAGUCUGUUGUGACAGGACAAGGGAAAAUGGUUUGAAAGUCAAAAAAAGGUACAUUUAGGUUGGAUAUGCAGAAAAGUUGUUUUUAGAAUAAGGGUAGUGAAGCACUGGAACAGCUUGCCCAGAGAUAUGGAGGAUGCCUUGUCCCCGGAGUCAUUCAAGGUCAUGCUCUACGCAGCUUUGAGCAACUUUACAGAGCUAUAGAUGUCCCCGUUCAUUGCAGAGGAGUUGGACUAGAAGACUUUUAAAAGCCCAUUCAGCUCAAACAAUUCUAUGAUUCUAUUUUCUUCCAAUUUUUAAGUUAUUAAUUAUCCUAGUAAAAGUUUGCUUUAUAUGACAA